rnacentral:rRNA from 1 species
UACGGAGGGUGCAAGCGUUAAUCGGAAUUACUGGGCGUAAAGCGCGCGUAGGCGGCCAAGUAAGCUAGAUGUGAAAUCCCUGGGCGUCAACCUGGGAACGUAGCAUUUAGUAACUGCUUGGUCUAGAGUGCAGAAGAGGAGUGUGGAAUUUCCGGUUGUAGCGGUGAAAUGCGUAGAGAUCGGAAGGAACAUCAGUGGCGAAGGCGACACUCUGGUCUGACACUGACGCUGAGGUGCGAAAGCGUGGUAGCAAACAGGAUUAGAAA